rnacentral:rRNA from 1 species
AUUGAACGCUGGCGGCAUGCUUUACACAUGCAAGUCGAACGGUAACAGGCCUUCGGGUGCUGACGAGUGGCGAACGGGUGAGUAAUGCAUCGGAACGUGCCCAAUCGUGGGGGAUAACGUAGCGAAAGUUACGCUAAUACCGCAUAAGCCCUGAGGGGGAAAGUGGGGGACCGCAAGGCCUCACGCGAAUGGAGCGGCCGAUGUCAGAUUAGCUAGUUGGUGGGGUAAAGGCCCACCAAGGCGACGAUCUGUAGCGGGUCUGAGAGGAUGAUCCGCCACACUGGGACUGAGACACGGCCCAGACUCCUACGGGAGGCAGCAGUGGGGAAUUUUGGACAAUGGGCGCAAGCCUGAUCCAGCCAUGCCGCGUGCGUGAAGAAGGCCUGCGGGUUGUAAAGCACUUUCAGUGGGGAAGAACAGAUUUGGGUCAAUACCCCGGAGCCCUGACGUUACCCACAGAAGAAGCACCGGCUAACUCCGUGCCAGCAGCCGCGGU